rnacentral:misc_RNA from 1 species
AAGGCAUACCUCUUCAAUAACGUGUGAGUUCCUUACUAUUCUUUCAUGGACUGCUUAGUCAUUAUGCUCAUUCUUUAUUCUACGAGAAUUGUGGUUUUAUUAUUGAUCCACCUGUAGAUUUUUGGUAUUAUUUUUUGGUCAAAAUUUCUUAGUAUUUGAUUUUACAGAACUUGUUGCCUUUGUUGCCUAUAAAACACAAAAAUUUCAAGCUAUCAACAGUUAGUGAAGUAUUGCUGCAGUUAUAGUUACUAUAAUUUUUUAUUUUCUACUGAAAAAAUGACUAGCUUAUGCCUUAUGGUUUGUUUAUAGGGCAAGUUUUCUUUUAACAUUCUGCGUUUUGUUCUGUUGAAUUUGAUAUUCCUUGAGUGGCUAAAAGGUUGAAUGUUUGCGGUCUAGGCAAAUGAAAUUUGCAUACCAUGGAAUUUGAAGUAGCAUACUUGUGCAUAAGUCAUUAUCUUGGUUGAAUAACCUUCAUUGUUCAGGCUUAUUGCCAUUAUGCGCAUGGAUUUUUUUAUGUACAUGAAAAUUCUGUAUCUCUUCUUUUAAGUGCUUGUCUGAAAAAGAAAAAUUAGUUCUUAAAUUACAUGAAGUGGACUGGUGCUUAUAGUUUCUCUUCUUUAUUGACUAGUAAUAGAUCACUACAAGCACCAAAGAGGGCUGCAAACUACAACCCAAGAUAUGGAGAAUAUAAGAAAGGCACCUCAGCUGAACUAAAAUCUGGAAUCUGAAAAUAAAUAAAAAAGAUGGAUUAGAAAGUUAAAAAGGGGUGGGAAGGACUGAUUUGAUAAUAAAUUCCACAACACUCUCAACUUUGGAAGCUAAUUUCAUUUCAUGCUAAACACUGUUGCAAAUUCUACCAUUCCCCUCAUAUCAAAUAUUCUGAAGCAAGCACAAUGGAACAGAACUCCAAGCAAAAAACCAUUAUUUUUCCCCCUUGCAGUAUCACUGUUAGGUAUUGUUACAAUUCUUCGUCGUUAAGUUAAAAAGUGUUUGCUUUUGUAUGUAACUUUCUAUGUUAUCUUAGAACUAAUGCAUAUCAAUGGCUGAUAAAAACCCGGGCAGUGGGUUUUGUUGGAAGUCACAAAUGUUUGACUUCUAAUUAGAGAGGGAUACAUGGUAUAUUUUGAAAUAGUAACGCAGGUUUAUUAUAUUUUGAAAUAGUAACGUAGGUUUAUUCAUUUUUAUGACUUCUAAUUCCUACUGUACUGAUUCUACAGCCUUAACAGCCAAUGGUUUACUGGUUGAGGUUUUUUAGGCAUAAGCCUAUCAGAUUAUUACCAAAGUGUGAUUUAGUUAGGCAUAAACUCAUGUAAUCGCCUGCCUAAGUUCUAUUAAAUAGUUCUGAACAAGCAUUGUGUGAUAGAUAACUUUUGAACAGUUGUAAUUAAUUGGAUACAGGAAAUGCUUUCCUCCAGUUUUUUAUUCUCAUGAUUCUUUCUUUGCAGCUUCUGUUCUUUAUCUCUGUUUGUACAUUCUUCCUCAACACAUGAAAUCUGAAAGAAACUUUCAGAGUUAAUGUCAUGCAAUUGUAGCAUUAGAUGUGAAAACGAAAUAAAAGGCAUUCCUCAUCAAAAUGUUCAGCCUUCAGCAAGAACUUAAGAUUUUUCCACUAACUCUUUAUCAUUCUUUCAUCAUUUGAAACAGUUGCAGCUUAUCUCUGUGUAAAUACUGAAAAGGAAUUUGUUUGAUUUUCAUGCUAGCUAAUAUUAAUUUUGGUUUGCUUGGACAGUGAUCACUGCUUUAACAGUAUUUAUUCCAAAUUUCCUAUGAUAGCUUAUGAGAACUCAAACUGUGUAUCAUGUUGGAAAAUAUGGACAAAUAAAGAACGGUCACCUAAAUUUGAACUAGUAGUUAUUAGUUAGCAGUGUUAUCUUCCUCAGGGGACUUGUGACAGAUAGCUCUUGGUUUCCAACACAUGCAUGUAUGAGUACGUGUGCAUUCACAUUUUCACAUUCCAGUAUGUAGCUCCACAAGCGAAUACACAAGGAGUUUGUUCCUACCUUGAGCAAUUUAAUGUCUUCUAUACCAUAAUGCAACAAAGCUGCAUGCUGUGGAGUUUGUGAUUUCAGGGUAAACAUCAUAAUUGGAGCCUU